UCUGCUUUUGGAAUGUGAAAGGAAGUGAUGGAGGGAGAAGUUGAUUAUCAGAAUCUGCAUGAAAUACUGAGAAAGUCAUAAUGCAAUUCAUCAUGUGCAUCUCUGUGACAUAUGAUCUUUAUUUAUACAUCCUUGUAAGAUGAAGAUCUUCUGCCACCUUAUUCACUAGUGCAUCUUCAUGACCUUUUGUACCAGGCAGAAAACCAUAAUGUUGCCAACUUAAAGUGUUGUGAACAUGGAAAGAGUUUGACAUCUGGAGAAUUGUUUCAGGAGUUUAUAGAUUUGCUCAGGUUUGCUAUUAGUCUAGACUAGCCAUAGGAAUCUCAACAUAUCUCCUGUGCUCAUUCACAACAAGGGCAUGAAAGGGUGCCAACCAAACUCCUGGAAAAAAAGACAAGAUUGUAAUGAAACAGCAAAUGAAAAAGAGAAAUAAAAGAAUAGGAAGGCAUGGUGUCCAACAAGCACUUAUGAAUCAUUCACCACCAAUACUAUGUUAUAUUUCUUUUAGGUUUUCAUUCUCCAAAAGGAAUGAAAAGUGUGGUGCCAACCAGUAGCUUCAUCACUUCAGCUCCUGAAAAACAGUCAGGCAUUUAAGAAAUCUUUACUCCCAUAAAAUAUGGCCAUAUUCCCUUCAU